CGAACGCUACGGCAGGCUUAUACCUGCAGUUCGUAGGGGCACGCAUUUACUUCGGUCCAAAUGGCGACCGGCGCACGGGUGAGUAACGCGUAUGCAACCUACCUUUAACUGGGGCAUAGCUCGAGGAAACUCGAAUUAAUUCCCCAUAGUACAUUAUAAUAUCUCAUGAUAUAAAUGUUAAAGAUUUAUCGGUUAAAGAUGGGCAUGCGUCUGAUUAGUUUGUUGGUAAGGUAACGGCUUACCAAGACUACGAUCAGUAGGGGGUCUGAGAGGAUGAUCCCCCACACUGGUACUGAGACACCGACCACACAUCUACAGAUGGCAGCAAGUAAGGAAUAUUGGGCAAUGGGCGCAAGCCUGACCCAGACCAUGCCGCAGUGCAGGAUGACGACCCUAUGGGUUGUAAACUGACUUUUAUAUAGGAAAGAAAAUACU
rnacentral:rRNA from 1 species